rnacentral:lncRNA from 1 species
AGGAUAGACGAAUCAAGUGUCUGUGAUGAGCUCACUGGGUGACUUGGUGCUGCAGCAAGGCGAAGUAAUCGAGAGAAUAAUUCAUCAACUGUUGGGACAGUCGGACUAGCCAAAAUCUGAUCGCGUACUGAAUCGAGAUCAUUAGGAAGCCCAGCAAGACUAAGAACUAGAAACAGCUUUUGUCGUUGCUCUUGCUGCUUUGCAACGCUAGCAGAAACUGGCAUCAACGUCUCAAAUUCCUCCAUAACUGCCUGCACUUGACCCAAGUAAGUAGACAUAUCUCAUUCCUGUUUCUUUAAAUUUGUCAUCCGCGAUAUCACAUCAUAGAAACGAGAUAUGUCAUUAGUGUAUAAAGUACGAGCUUUUUCCCAAACCAAAUAACAUGUUUGGAAUGGACGAAACAAGGGCAUCAACUUGGAAUCAAUAGAUCGCCACAAAAUAGUGCAUAAUUGAGCAUCGAUCUUCUCCCAAUAUGCUUUAGCUUUUUCAUCUCAUUCACUAGACUCCUUGAUUAGAUGAUCUUGAACACCUUGACCUUGACACUACAACUUGACAGACGAAGCCCAAGCUAGGUAGUUUGAACCUCCCAUUAAAGGUUCUAAGGUAAUCAUAACUCCUUGAUUAGAUGAUCCUGAACACCUUGACCUUUACACCACAAAACGACAUACGAAGCCCAAGCUAGGUAGUUUGAACCUCCCUGUAAAGGUUCUAAGGAAAUCAUAACACCGGAACUGUCAGAACCCGGGUUUCUAGACCCGAAAGCAUCGAUUCCCAAAGACAUCGUUGGGUUAUCACCAAAUAAUCAGAAAGAACCAACUGAAAACUCGCUGAAAAUGAUGAUGGAAACUGAAAACUGGAAACUGGAAACACUGUAGCUGCCGGAAACUGAAACUUAAACUGGAAACUGAAAACUGGAAACGGGAAACACUGCAGCUGCCAGAAACUGGAAACACUGUAGCUGCCGGAAAAAAAAAUACAAGGUUGUCGGAAUUGAAAAAUAAAAAUAUGGAUAGGCUCGGAAUUCGAGGACGAUCAGACUGUCCUGAAGGAACUUUUUGAAAUUCUGGCCGGAAGGUGUCUCACGCGCCGGCCCGUGGGACAGACGCACCACUGGCGGCAGAACUCCGGCGGGCGCGUGGGGGAUUCUUUUCCGAUAUUUUUUUCUGGGGCUGGUCGGAAUUCUCUUCCGAACCUUGUGGUGGUCUAGGAUUUUGCACAACACCAACAAAAAGGUAAUUUAGUUACGGACAGCCUCUUAAGACGCCGGAAAAUUGCACAGCGACGAGGUCUUUCUUCCCGGAGGUUGCUGGAAUGACGCACAGCUAUAAUAUUCUCACUGUAGCUCUGAUACCAUGUGAGAAAGCACGGGAGAAAAAUAAUAAUUGAUCUUAAACAUGAUACAAUGAGCCCUAUAUAUACACAUAACCUAUCCUACUCCUAAUACACAUUGGAUUAGGGUUAUUUUACGACUAUUUACAUAUUCCAACAGAUAUAUAUCUGGUGAUCUCUACAUUCUUGAUGAAUGAGAAUUGGGAACCACAAUCUAUUGCAUGUUCUAGUAUCGUGUCUCCUUUUGAAGCACAUUGUCGACUUGGACAUCCCUCUUUGCCUUUGUUA